rnacentral:rRNA from 1 species
GUGGGGAAUAUUGGACAAUGGGCGAAAGCCUGAUCCAGCCAUGCCGCGUGUGUGAAGAAGGUCUUCGGAUUGUAAAGCACUUUAAGUUGGGAGGAAGGGUAGUAACCUAAUACGUUGCUACUUUGACGUUACCGACAGAAUAAGCACCGGCUAACUUCGUGCCAGCAGCCGCGGUAAUACGAAGGGUGCAAGCGUUAAUCGGAAUUACUGGGCGUAAAGCGCGCGUAGGUGGUUCAGUAAGUUGGAAGUGAAAUCCCCGGGCUCAACCUGGGGACUGCGUUCAAAACUGCUGAGCUAGAGUACGGUAGAGGGUGGUGGAAUUUCCUGUGUAGCGGUGAAAUGCGUAGAUAUAGGAAGGAACACCAGUGGCGAAGGCGACCACCUGGACUGAUACUGACACUGAGGUGCGAAAGCGUGGGGAGCAAACAGGAUUAGAUACCCGAGUAGUCC